rnacentral:rRNA from 1 species
GAUGAACGCUGGCGGCGUGCCUAAUACAUGCAAGUCGAGCGAACGGACGAGAAGCUUGCUUCUCUGAUGUUAGCGGCGGACGGGUGAGUAACACGUGGAUAACCUACCUAUAAGACUGGGAUAACUUCGGGAAACCGGAGCUAAUACCGGAUGAUAUUUUGAACCGCAUGGUUCAAAAGUGAAAGACGGUCUUGCUGUCACUUAUAGAUGGAUCCGCGCUGCAUUAGCUAGUUGGUAAGGUAACGGCUUACCAAGGCAACGAUGCAUAGCCGACCUGAGAGGGUGAUCGGCCACACUGGAACUGAGACACGGUCCAGACUCCUACGGGAGGCAGCAGUAGGGAAUCUUCCGCAAUGGGCGAAAGCCUGACGGAGCAACGCCGCGUGAGUGAUGAAGGUCUUCGGAUCGUAAAACUCUGUUAUUAGGGAAGAACAUAUGUGUAAGUAACUGUGCACAUCUUGACGGUACCUAAUCAGAAAGCCACGGCUAACUACGUGCCAGCAGCCGCGGUAAUACGUAGGUGACAAGCGUUAUCCGGAAUUAUUGGGCGUAAAGCGCGCGUAGGCGGUUUUUUAAGUCUGAUGUGAAAGCCCACGGCUCAACCGUGGAGGGUCAUUGGAAACUGGAAAACUUGAGUGCAGAAGAGGAAAGUGGAAUUCCAUGUGUAGCGGUGAAAUGCGCAGAGAUAUGGAGGAACACCAGUGGCGAAGGCGACUUUCUGGUCUGUAACUGACGCUGAUGUGCGAAAGCGUGGGGAUCAAACAGGAUUAGAUACCCUGGUAGUCCACGCCGUAAACGAUGAGUGCUAAGUGUUAGGGGGUUUCCGCCCCUUAGUGCUGCAGCUAACGCAUUAAGCACUCCGCCUGGGGAGUACGACCGCAAGGUUGAAACUCAAAGGAAUUGACGGGGACCCGCACAAGCGGUGGAGCAUGUGGUUUAAUUCGAAGCAACGCGAAGAACCUUACCAAAUCUUGACAUCCUUUGACAACUCUAGAGAUAGAGCCUUCCCCUUCGGGGGGGACAAAGUGACAGGUGGUGCAUGGUUGUCGUCAGCUCGUGUCGUGAGAUGUUGGGUUAAGUCCCGCAACGAGCGCAACCCUUAAGCUUAGUUGCCAUCAUUAAGUUGGGCACUCUAAGUUGACUGCCGGUGACAAACCGGAGGAAGGUGGGGAUGACGUCAAAUCAUCAUGCCCCUUAUGAUUUGGGCUACACACGUGCUACAAUGGACAAUACAAAGGGCAGCGAAACCGCGAGGUCAAGCAAAUCCCAUAAAGUUGUUCUCAGUUCGGAUUGUAGUCUGCAACUCGACUACAUGAAGCUGGAAUCGCUAGUAAUCGUAGAUCAGCAUGCUACGGUGAAUACGUUCCCGGGUCU